rnacentral:lncRNA from 1 species
CAAUAUGCAUGUUUGGCAAUUUAUUUGAAACUUUGUUCAGAUUGUUUGUUUUGAAUUUGAGCAGUACUGUUUGAUGUUCUAAGUUUUUCCUUAUCAUCGUUAACAAAUUGGUGAGGAUGUGUUUCUUAAUGUGGGGAAAGCAUGUACCUCUCUAAACUUUUUAUUUUUUGUGUGAACGUCAUUAGUUCUUUACAUUUAAAUAGUCAUUUCUCUUUACUUAUGAAUUAUAACAUGACAUAUUAUACCACGACGCGUUGACACAUAUACAAAAUAACUCAUUAAAAUCACAAAAGAAAAAGUUUUGCACAUUUCUUAAACUGUAAUUUUCAAAACUACAGACUCAAAAGAGAUAUUAUUUUCGAUAGUUACAUGACGAAUGAAUAAAUAGUCACUUAUUUUGAAAUUUGAUAAUAAAGAUCAGAAUUAAUAACAUGUACCUCUCUAAACUUUUUAUUUUUUGUGUGAACGUCAUUAGUUCUUUACAUUUAAA